rnacentral:rRNA from 1 species
AUGCAGGGGCUCUUACAUGGCAACAAAGAAGUUGCUGUUAAAAGGCUCAGUAGAGGUUCUGGGCAGGGGGCAAUAGAGUUUAGGAAUGAAGUAGUCGUGAUUGCUAAACUGCAACACAAAAACCUUGUAAGGCUUGUCUGUUGUGUGCAGGGCGAUGAAAAGCUACUUAUUUAUGAAUAUCUACCAAACAGAAGCCUGGACACCUUCCUUUUCAAUUCUGAAAAGAAGUCAAUGCUUCACUGGCCGACACGAUUCAAUAUAAUAAAAGGAGUGGCUAGGGGGCUACUCUAUCUCCAUCAAGAUUCAAGACUGAUGAUAAUUCUUAGGGAUCUGAAAAGAAGCAACAUUUUGCUAGAUGGAGAUAUGAAUCCCAAGAUAUCUGAUUUUGGCAUGGCAAGAAUCUUUGGUGGAGAUGAGCAACAAGCGAACACUAACCGAGUUGUCGGAACAUAUGGUUAUAUGUCUCCGGAAUAUGCAAUGGAAGGCCUCUUUUCUGUGAAGUCCGAUGUCUAUAGCUUUGGAGUAUUGCUCUUGGAAACUGUAAGUGGUCUAAGGAUUAGCUCAACCCAGAACAUCAAGGAGUUCCCCAACCUUAUAAUAUAUGCAUGGAGUCUAUGGAGGGAAGGGCUAGCAAUGGAUUUGGUGGAUCCAUGUGUUUCAGAGAGCUGUUCCAGUGAAGAGGCUUUGUGCUGCAUUCAUGUUGGGCUCUUGUGUGUUCAGGAUGAUCCGGAUGCCAGACCACUCAUGUCAACUGUUGUAUCAACCUUGGAGAGUAGAAGCACGCCACUUGCAACGCCUUAUAAGCCACUGUAUUUUUCUCAGAGGAAUAAGGUAGCGAAGAGAGCAGCACAUGGUCAGGACUCUGUGGAUAUGGAGGCCCUUACAGUUAUAGAGGGGCGAUAG